UUUUGACCUCAGUUCAGACAAGGCUACCCGCCGAAUUUAAGCAUAUUACUAAGCGGAGGAAAAGAAAAUAACAAUGAUUCCCCUAGUAACGGCGAGCGAACCGGGAAGAGCCCAACUUGGAAAUCUGGAGGCUUGUCCUUCCGAAUUGUAGUCUAGAGUAGUGCCAUCUGCGGCUGGGCCGGUCCCAAGUUCCCUGUAAAGGGACGUUAGAGAGGGUGAGAGCCCCGUCGAGGCCGGUUUAGUCGCUCCACGAUGCGCUUACAAGGAGUCGGGUUGUUUGGGAAUGCAGCCCUAAGCGGGAGGUAAAUUCCUUCUAAGGCUAAAUAUUGGCGAGAGACCGAUAGCGAACAAGUACCGCGAGGGAAAGAUGAAAAGACCUUUGAAAAGAGAGUUAAAAAGUACCUGAAAUUGUUGAGGGGGAAGCGAUUAAAACCAGCGGGUGCUCCCUAGGUAGGCUUUGCCACACGCUAGGGGCUGGUCAACGUGGGUUAGUCGGGGGGGAUAUUACUCCUGACUGACCGAGGACUCGACGUUGGCGGAAUGGUUUUAAUCGGCCCGUCUAGAAACACGGACCAAGGAGUCUAA
rnacentral:rRNA from 1 species